UGGCGUGUAGCUUAGUUGGUAAAGCAGUCGGCCGUUAACCGACAGAUCGCAGGUUCAAAUCCUGCUUCGCCAG
rnacentral:tRNA from 1 species